rnacentral:rRNA from 1 species
UACGUAGGGGGCAAGCGUUGUCCGGAUUUAUUGGGCGUAAAGAGCGUGUAGGCGGCCAGACAGGUCCGUUGUGAAAACGUCGAGGCUCAACCUCGAGAUGUCGAUGGAAACCGUCUGGCUAGAGUCCGGAAGAGGAGAGUGGAAUUCCCGGUGUAGCGGUGAAAUGCGCAGAUAUCGGGAAGAACACCCGUGGCGAAGGCGGCUCUCUGGGACGGUACUGACGCUGAGACGCGAAAGCGUGGGGAGCGAACAGG